UACGUAGGGGGCUAGCGUUGCUCGGAAUCACUGGGCGUAAAGCGCUCGUAGGCGGCUUUCUAAGUCAGGGGUGAAAUCCUGGAGCUCAACUCCAGAACUGCCUUUGAUACUGGAGAGCUAGAGUCCGGAAGAGGUGAGUGGAACUGCGAGUGUAGAGGUGAAAUUCGUAGAUAUUCGCAAGAACACCAGUGGCGAAGGCGGCACACUGGUCCGGUACUGACGCUGAGGUGCGAAAGCGUGGGGAGCAAACAGG
rnacentral:rRNA from 1 species